rnacentral:rRNA from 1 species
GGUCCAGACUCCUACGGGAGGCAGCAGUGGGGAAUAUUGCACAAUGGGCGCAAGCCUGAUGCAGCCAUGCCGCGUGUAUGAAGAAGGCCUUCGGGUUGUAAAGUACUUUCAGCAGUGAGGAAGGAGGUAUCGUUAAUAGCGGUAUUCUUUGACGUUAGCUGCAGAAGAAGCACCGGCUAACUCCGUGCCAGCAGCCGCGGUAAUACGGAGGGUGCGAGCGUUAAUCGGAAUUACUGGGCGUAAAGCGCAUGCAGGUGGUUUGUUAAGUCAGAUGUGAAAGCCCGGGGCUCAACCUCGGAAUUGCAUUUGAAACUGGCAGGCUAGAGUACUGUAGAGGGGGGUAGAAUUUCAGGUGUAGCGGUGAAAUGCGUAGAGAUCUGAAGGAAUACCGGUGGCGAAGGCGGCCCCCUGGACAGAUACUGACACUCAGAUGCGAAAGCGUGGGGAGCAAACAGGAUUAGAUACCCUGGUAGUCCACGCCGUAAACGAUGUCUACUUGGAGGUUGUGGCCUUGAGCCGUGGCUUUCGGAGCUAACGCGUUAAGUAGACCGCCUGGGGAGUACGGUCGCAAGAUUAAAACUCAAAUGAAUUGACGGGGGCCCGCACAAGCGGUGGAGCAUGUGGUUUAAUUCGAUGCAACGCGAAGAACCUUACCUACUCUUGACAUCCAGAGAACUUAGCAGAGAUGCUUUGGUGCCUUCGGGAACUCUGAGACAGGUGCUGCAUGGCUGUCGUCAGCUCGUGUUGUGAAAUGUUGGGUUAAGUCCCGCAACGAGCGCAACCCUUAUCCUUGUUUGCCAGCGAGUAAUGUCGGGAACUCCAGGGAGACUGCCGGUGAUAAACCGGAGGAAGGUGGGGACGACGUCAAGUCAUCAUGGCCCUUACGAGUAGGGCUACACACGUGCUACAAUGGCGCAUACAGAGGGCGGCCAACUUGCGAAAGUGAGCGAAUCCCAAAAAGUGCGUCGUAGUCCGGAUUGGAGUCUGCAACUCGACUCCAUGAAGUCGGAAUCGC